GACGAACGCUGGCGGCGUGCUUAACACAUGCAAGUCGAACGGAAAGGCCCUGCUUUUGUUGGGUUCUCGAUUUGCGAACUUGUGUGUAACACGUGAGUAACCUUCCCUUGACUUUGUGAUAACUUCAGGAAACUGUUGCUAAUACCUUAUAUUAUCUCCUGCUGCAUUUUUGUGGUUGGAAAGUUUCGGCGGUUGGGGAUGGACUCGCGGCUUAUCAGCUUGUUGGUGGGGUAGUGGCUUACCAAGGCUUUGACGGGUAGCCUGCCUGAGAGGGUGACCGGGAAAAUUGGGACUGAGAGACGGACCAGACGCGUACGGGAGGCAGCAGUGGGGAAUAUUGAACAAAGGGCGGAAGCAUGAGGAAGAAAAGCGGCGUGCGGGAUGAAGGCCUUCGGGUUGUAAACAGAUUUAGAAUGAGAAGAAGAGUGAGUGACGGUAAUGGGUAAAGAAGCAACGGCUAACUACGUG
rnacentral:rRNA from 1 species